rnacentral:rRNA from 1 species
CGCGAAGAACCUUACCUGGUCUUGACAUCCACGGAAGUUUUCAGAGAUGAGAAUGUGCCUUCGGGAACCGUGAGACAGGUGCUGCAUGGCUGUCGUCAGCUCGUGUUGUGAAAUGUUGGGUUAAGUCCCGCAACGAGCGCAACCCUUAUCCUUUGUUGCCAGCGGUCCGGCCGGGAACUCAAAGGAGACUGCCAGUGAUAAACUGGAGGAAGGUGGGGAUGACGUCAAGUCAUCAUGGCCCUUACGACCAGGGCUACACACGUGCUACAAUGGCGCAUACAAAGAGAAGCGACCUCGCGAGAGCAAGCGGACCUCAUAAAGUGCGUCGUAGUCCGGAUUGGAGUCUGCAACUCGACUCCAUGAAGUCGGGAUCGCUAGUAAUCGUGGAUCAGAAUGCCACGGUGAAUACGUUCCCGGGUCUUGUACACACC